UACGUAGGGUGCAAGCGUUGUCCGGAAUUAUUGGGCGUAAAGGGCUCGUAGGCGGUCCAUCGCGUCGGGUGUGAAAAGCUGGGGCUUAACCCCAGUCCUGCUUCCGAUACGGGUGGACUAGAGGUAGGUAGGGGAGAGCGGAAUUCCUGGUGUAGCGGUGAAAUGCGCAGAUAUCAGGAGGAACACCGGUGGCGAAGGCGGAUCUCUGGGCCUUACCUGACGCUGAGGAGCGAAAGCAUGGGGAGCAAACAGG
rnacentral:rRNA from 1 species